rnacentral:rRNA from 1 species
UACAGAGGGUGCAAGCGUUGUUCGGAAUCAUUGGGCGUAAAGGGCGUGUAGGCGGUUUGUUAAGUCAUGUGUGAAAUCCCCGGCUCAACCGAGGAACCGACGCAUGAAACUGGCAAGCUAGAGUACCGAAGAGGGGGGUGGAAUUCCCGGUGUGAGCGGUGAAAUGCGUAGAUAUCGGGAGGAACGACCUGUGGCGAAGGGCGGCUAUCUGGAUGAGGUAUUGACACUGAGGCUCGGAAAGCGU